UACGUAGGGGGCUAGCGUUAUCCGGAUUUACUGGGCGUAAAGGGUGCGUAGGCGGUCUUUCAAGUCAGGAGUGAAAGGCUACGGCUCAACCGUAGUAAGCUCUUGAAACUGUAAGACUUGAGUGCAGGAGAGGAGAGUGGAAUUCCUAGUGUAGCGGUGAAAUGCGUAGAGAUUAGGAAGAACACCAGUGGCGAAGGCGAUUCUCUGGACUGUAACUGACGCUGAGGCUCGAAAGCGUGGGGAGCAAACAGGAUUAGAUACCCGGGUAGUCCCUGA
rnacentral:rRNA from 1 species